GACGAACGCUGGCGGCGUGCUUAACACAUGCAAGUCGAACGGAAAGGCCCCUUUGUUGGUACUCGAGUGGCGAACGGGUGAGUAACACGUGAGUAACCUGCCCUUGACUUCGGGAUAACUUCAGGAAACUGGGGCUAAUACCGGAUAGGAAUCAUUGCUGCAUGGUGGGGGUUGGAAAGCUUCGGCGGUUUUGGAUGGACUCGCGGCUUAUCAGCUUGUUGGUGGGGUAGUGGCUUACCAAGGCUUUGUCGGGUAGCCGGCCUGAGAGGGCGACCGGCCAACUUGGGACUGAGAUACGGCCCAGACUGCUACGGGGGGCAGCAGUGGGGAAUAUUGCACAAUGGGCGGAAGCCUGAUGCAGCAACGCCGCGUGCGGGAUGACGGCCUUCGGGUUGUAAACCGCUUUCAGCAGGGGCGAAGCUUGUGGUGACGGUACCUGCAGAAGAAGCACCGGCUAACUACGUG
rnacentral:rRNA from 1 species